GCUGCCGAUGUCUGGGAUCUGAUCGGCGAAAGACUGCGUCAUCCACUGACCGUCCUGAACUUGGCCAACAGCGUUUGGAUUCGUUGGCGCCUUCUCGGCUGCGUUGGCUGGAGCUUUUAACACAGAAAGUGAUAUUAAAGAAGAAAGAUGGUACCAACCUGUCUCCUCAGAUGUGGAGAAGUUACAAAAUCCAUUGCUUUGGCCUCCUUCAGGUGCUGGUUCUCCAUAAGCUCCUCCGAAGGCUGCCUCAUAACCAGGAUCAUACUGCUCUUCCUUGACGGCAAUCCUCUUGGCAUCCUCUGUAAGAGAGAGAGAGAAGUGGUCAAAUACAGUCCAUAAUUGUAUGUCCAUAACUCAAUAUGAUUAAGAAAAGAAGAGCAAUCAUAAAGGUUUUGCUGGUACCUUUGGCCAAGCCAAGAUCAAAGGUAUAUUUCACUUCCUCGACCUCCUUGCUCUUGAUCACACCCUUCAGCUGAUCUCGAAGCUCUCUGAGCUUGAUGUAAAAAUGCACUUUGUCCUGAGCACGAGGAAACUGGGCACAGCGGGCGCUGGAGGACGGCAUUAGGUACAAUGCCUACGGAAAAGCAGCAGUAUGCAGCGUAUAGCUCAAAUUUGAUAGACUUCUGCUUUUAUAAUGCAAUGAACCAAAAAAAAAAGGUUUCUUACCGUCUCAGAAUCAGGAAUUUUGUGAGGCUGUAGGCCAAACUCAAGCGUUUUGGGCUUUUUCCCAAAUAUCUCCCUACAGAACAUUUCAUAAAUACCUGAAACAAAAAUAAUUGUUAAAUGCACGUCAAGAAUCAGUUGUAUUCUUCACAUUCUUUAUUUGUGGUCAAAAACUUACAUUUCCCGUUAAAAACCGCUAUGAGUGGCUUGAAUUUCUUUAUUUUUUCCACUAAGAUUUUACCCCCUUCUCGAAGUUCCUUGCUGCCGAAGGGUGACAAGCAAAAGGUUAGAAGAACAUCACCACUUUCGGUCACAAAUGAAAGCAGAGCGAUUCUAUACCGCACCUAGAGAGAUCUUUGCUUCCUGGUGUCGCUCGCUCUACCAUAUUUGUGAAGCCGAUGCCGUAUUUCUCAGGCAAACUCUGAUCAUCCAUGUGAUUUAACAGCUUCUCUGUGAAUCCAGACAGGAACAGGCACUUCC